rnacentral:rRNA from 1 species
UGGGGAAUAUUGCACAAUGGGCGCAAGCCUGAUGCAGCCAUGCCGCGUGUGUGAAGAAGGCCUUCGGGUUGUAAAGCACUUUCAGCGGGGAGGAAGGCGUUAAGGUUAAUAACCUUGGCGAUUGACGUUACCCGCAGAAGAAGCACCGGCUAACUCCGUGCCAGCAGCCGCGGUAAUACGGAGGGUGCAAGCGUUAAUCGGAAUUACUGGGCGUAAAGCGCACGCAGGCGGUCUGUCAAGUCGGAUGUGAAAUCCCCGGGCUCAACCUGGGAACUGCAUUCGAAACUGGCAGGCUAUGGUCUUGUAGAGGGGGUAGAAUUCCAGGUGUAGCGGGGAAAUGCGUAGAGAUCUGGAGGAAUACCGGUGGCGAAGGCGGCCCCCUGGACAAAGACUGACGCUCAGGUGCUAAAGCGUGGGGAGCAAACAGG